CUUCUCUUGAGAGCGGCGGACGGGUGAGUAAUGCCUAGGAAUCUGCCUAGUGGUGGGGGAUAACGUUCGGAAACGGACGCUAAUACCGCAUACGUCCUACGGGAGAAAGCGGGGGAUCUUCGGACCUCGCGCCAUUAGAUGAGCCUAGGUCGGAUUAGCUAGUUGGUGAGGUAAUGGCUCACCAAGGCGACGAUCCGUAACUGGUCUGAGAGGAUGAUCAGUCACACUGGAACUGAGACACGGUCCAGACUCCUACGGGAGGCAGCAGUGGGGAAUAUUGGACAAUGGGCGAAAGCCUGAUCCAGCCAUGCCGCGUGUGUGAAGAAGGUCUUCGGAUUGUAAAGCACUUUAAGUUGGGAGGAAGGGUAGUAACCUAAUACGUUGCUACUUUGACGUUACCGACAGAAUAAGCACCGGCUAACUUCGUGCCAGCAGCCGCGGUAAUACGAAGGGUGCAAGCGUUAAUCGGAAUUACUGGGCGUAAAGCGCGCGUAGGUGGUUCAGUAAGUUGGAAGUGAAAUCCCCGGGCUCAACCUGGGAACUGCUUUCAAAACUGCUGAGCUAGAGUACGGUAGAGGGUGGUGGAAUUUCCUGUGUAGCGGUGAAAUGCGUAGAUAUAGGAAGGAACACCAGUGGCGAAGGCGACCACCUGGACUGAUACUGACACUGAGGUGCGAAAGCGUGCGGAGCAAACAGGAUUAGAUACCCUGGUAGUCC
rnacentral:rRNA from 1 species